rnacentral:rRNA from 1 species
GAUGAACGCUGGCGGCGUGCCUAAUACAUGCAAGUUGAGCGAACAGAUGAGGAGCUUGCUCCUCUGACGUUAGCGGCGGACGGGUGAGUAACACGUGGAUAACCUACCUAUAAGACUGGGAUAACUUCGGGAAACCGGAGCUAAUACCGGAUAAUAUAUUGAACCGCAUGGUUCAAUAGUGAAAGACGGUUUUGCUGUCACUUAUAGAUGGAUCCGCGCCGCAUUAGCUAGUUGGUAAGGUAACGGCUUACCAAGGCAACGAUGCGUAGCCGACCUGAGAGGGUGAUCGGCCACACUGGAACUGAGACACGGUCCAGACUCCUACGGGAGGCAGCAGUAGGGAAUCUUCCGCAAUGGGCGAAAGCCUGACGGAGCAACGCCGCGUGAGUGAUGAAGGUCUUCGGAUCGUAAAACUCUGUUAUUAGGGAAGAACAAAUGUGUAAGUAACUAUGCACGUCUUGACGGUACCUAAUCAGAAAGCCACGGCUAACUACGUG